rnacentral:rRNA from 1 species
AUACGGAGGAUGCAAGCGUUAUCCGGAUUUAUUGGGUUUAAAGGGUGCGUAGGCGGUUUGCUAAGCGGGAGGUGAAAUGCCGGCGCUCAACGUCGGAAGUGCCUCCCGAACUGGUGGACUGGAAUGACUCUGCCGUGGGAGGAAUGUGUAGUGUAGCGGUGAAAUGCUUAGAGAUUACACAGAACACCGAUUGCGAAGGCAUCUCACGAAGGGUUGAUUGACGCUGAGGCACGAAAGCGUGGGUAUCAAACAGGAUUAGAUACCCUGGUAGUCCACGCAGUAAACGAUGAUGGCUAACCGCUGGUUUAUUCGGAUCAGUGGCCAAGCGAAAGCGAUAAGCCAUCCACCUGGGGAGUACGACCGCAAGGUUGAAACUCAAAUGAAUUGACGGGG